rnacentral:sRNA from 1 species
AAAAGAGGCUGCGGAUUCUUGGUGGACAGCUCUCAUAUCCCCUCCAGGGAAAAUGAUGAAAAAUGUCUUCAGAAAAAUAGCUUUAUGAAGGCAAGAGGAAUUUUUGCACCUGAAAGACAUGUCUGAAAGCUCCUCAGGUCAAAACACAAGUAGUCAAGAGAUUUGUCCAUCUAAUUCACCAUACUACUCUGAUCCAAGUGAGACCCACACUGGGUCAGCUCCAUCAAGGAGAAGAACAUUCCACCCACGUUUGGAUUCUGGAAUAUCAUCCCUGCUUCCAUCAGAUUCUUGUAAGUACCUCACUUUGCAGAAGGUAGAACAACAUGACAUUCAAGGAAGUCAGCUGUGUUGCCCAAGAGUAAGAGAAGGUAAAAGAAUAAAUGUGUGCCUUUUUCGUGUACAUCCUCUGAGUAGAAUUUUUUGUGGAUUAAAAGACAUUACUUGAAGAAAAAUAAAAGACAGCAUUUGGAGGACCCUCUGAAGAAGAGCAACUUUUCAGACAGGUAGAGUGUGCCUUGCUCCCAAGGAAAAGAGUUCUUGACAAAAACAAAUGGGAAAUAUGGCUACAAGAAAACUGGGAAGACUGCAAGAAUUUGAACAUUUCAUUUCAGGAUUUGGGGGAUCCUUACCAAGUUGAAGAUUUUAACAGAAUUCUUAGAAGACUAAUUCGAGUUGAAACCCUCUGGUUAGUGGAUAAUUCACUGCUGGACUUAAGUGUCAUAAGAUUGCCAAGAGUAUUCUCCUGUUUGCCAAACUUAAAAAUGCUGGAUGGAAUCUUGAAGCUACCAGAAGAUUGCUCAUCACCAGAAACCAAUAUUUUUUCAAAAAUAUGCCUAGUAUCCUAAUGCAGUCUGUAUAGAAAGAAAGCAAUCAUCAUUGUUGCUAAAAGCUAAUAAACACAGGAAAUGCAUGAUUAAAUAUUACAGUUUAUUUUAUAUCUUUUUGCUUUUCUAAAUCAAGGCAAAAACAUGCUAACUGACAAGAAAAUCAUAGGUUUUAUACAAGGAUAACAAGUGCUGGGUUGCUUAGCUAUGAGGAAGGCUAGGCUCACUGCAUACCAGAAGGUGCACAGUUUUGGAGAAUGCAGGGAUUUUUAUCAGCAAUCAAACUACAUUUGUGGAAAUUUUGUGCAUAAGUGCCAAAGAAGGUUGACAUCUGACCACAUUCUAUUUAACUCAACUGAAUGACACCAAGCUCUCAUCCUAAAACUUAUAGUUACAUCCACCCUUCUGAAAUAUUUAAUUAUUCUCCAAUACACUGGAGGUAAUAGGUAUAAAAAGAAUGUGCAUGUGCAACUUAGCAUCUCAUAUCUAAUUUUGUGUCCCAAGUUCAUUCUUCCCCUGAAUGUCCCAUGUCUACCAGGUGCAGGAUUAUCUGGAUGGAUCAGGUCAAAACAAUUUCAGGGAAUAAAUUGUGUAGGGGACACAAUUUUCUGAGACAGAAACAUAAUGUGAAUAACUCCUUUGUUAGAAAAUAAUUUCAGUGACAGAAAGCCUUUCAGUUCAUAAAGAAAACUUACAUAUCAACAAGCCUAGUUCCUCACCAGUCCCAAUGAAUGCUUACAUCAAUCAGCUCUACAAUAUCCAGUAAAGGACUUUCCAAUUUGCCUUUGAAUAAACUGAGGUAUUGGAAACAUCU